rnacentral:sRNA from 13 species
GCUGGGAGUGGUGACACACACCUAUAAUCCCAGCUACUCGGGAGGCCGAGGUGGGAGGAUCGCUUGAGCCCAGGAGUUCGAGGCUGCAGUGAGCUAUGAUUGCACCACUGCACUCCAGCCUGGGCAACACAGCAAGACCCUGUCUCUA